AAUGUAGUUCUCUAUGUACUUGAACACUAUCUUUCUGGUAGUUUUUAGCACAAGACAGAAAUCAAUGGGGUUAUUUGAAAUCAUUACAAACGCUCCCCAGAUAAUCCUAAGUUUUAUUGCAACACAAGUGUUGGUGCCACCGAAGUCUGCAUAAUUUCUCAAUAGAUCAAAAGGAGACUGGUUUAUUCUCUGCAUAGCAUUCAGCUCUCUUUCUUGCACAUCGUAUAAAAGAAAUGGGAAACAAAAGCUGUGUAUGAUUUGAUAAGGUGAAAACGCAAGUGUCCUUGGUUCUGUGCAGAUGUACUGGUACAAGACAAAUCAUCAGCAUGCCUGAGCUGAGGUAGCAGUGCUUGCACAAGUGUUGGAAGUGAUUCUAAUUUGUAAGUCAGACUACUAGCUUUUAGUUUCCUCCUGCAGGGGAACACUGAGAAGAGAGGGACUUUAACAGCAGACAGAUCAAGAAGAUAAAAAGGCAGCCAUCUAAAGCAUUACUCCAGUUUUCUAAAUGCCAUGCUUGGGUGCAAAGGAGCUAGUCCUUGUAAUCUGUCAAACAUCUGAACCAAUGACAGAAUGAUCUACUUUUGUACUUCGUUGUUUCUCACUCAAACAGCUAAGGGCCAUGGGUUGAUAAAGCAUAUCCUAUUGAGGGUAAUUUCUAGUGUUAGGAUUUCCAAACGAGUGUUUCCUAACAAAGCAGUACUGAGGAAUCUGGCCCUCGUGCCGAAUGCAUAAAAGACAUGAGUUGGAGUGCAUUCAAAACAAAACCAAACUGACAAACAAGGCAACUUGGUUAUGACAACUGAAAGAAAACAAACUGCAUUCGGGAGGGAGCAACCAAUCAGUGCAUUUUAAGUGCUCGCCUUCAGAAGCUGAGAGGAAACCAGCAAAUACACUGCAUGAAAGCCAAGUCCUCUUCAGAAAAAGGACAGCUAGGUUUGUAUGUCUGCAAAGACCUGCCCAUCUUAUAUUCCAUAUCUGACAGGGGGCUUGAUUAGGCUUGGUUGCAUAACCAAAGUUGAAGAGAUGGAAGAAGGAUGCUUGCUAGGCCAGCGGCGGUUACCAGCUUGUGAAGCUGGCACCCGUGAUAGAGUUUGUACUCAGCUUUGCGUGGUCCAAAAAACUUCCACAGUUGAGUCCAUCUGCCAGUGGUCAAUUCCAGAUACAAUCACUUUUUAUCUUGGCUAAUAUAUCAAACACCAAAUAAGUUUACAUCGCUGUGAUGUCUUAUAUAGGACUGAGGAACGAACGUGCCUUUCUGAACAUAUUUAAAUUAUAGCCGCUUGUAUGUAAUUUGUUAAUAUCAUUGCUUAACUGCACAAAAUUCCACUUUAAUGUUCUUGGCUCCUGAAUUAGGUUUUUUCCCAUAUGAAAUCUGUUGCUGUCACUGGCUCUGCCAAAGGCUGCUGACGUAACAGAAUUAAUCAUCAUAAUCAGAGUAAAGAAUUAUUAAUUUUC
ensembl:lncRNA